rnacentral:rRNA from 1 species
UACGUAGGGGGCUAGCGUUGUCCGGAAUCAUUGGGCGUAAAGAGCGUGUAGGCGGUCCGGUAAGUCCGCUGUGAAAGUCGGGGGCUCAACCCUCGAAUGCCGGUGGAUACUGUCGGGCUAGAGUGCGGAAGAGGCGAGUGGAAUUCCCGGUGUAGCAGUGAAAUGCGUAGAUAUCGGGAGGAACAUCUGUGGCGAAGGCGACACCCUGGACCAGCACUGACACUGAGGCACGAAAGCGUGGGGAGCAAACAGG